rnacentral:rRNA from 1 species
UACGUAGGGGGCAAGCGUUGUCCGGAUUUAUUGGGCGUAAAGAGCGUGUAGGCGGCUUUGCAAGUCCGUUGUGAAAACUCGAGGCUCAACCUCGAGACGCCGAUGGAAACCAUCUGACUAGAGUCCGGAAGAGGAGAGUGGAAUUCCGUGGUGUAGCGGUGAAAUGCGCAGAUAUCAGGAAGAACACCCGUGGCUAAGGCGGCUCUCUAGUACGGUACUGACGCUGAGACGCGAAAGCGUGGGGAGCGAACAGG